UCGAUCGCAAUGAGAAAGAAGAGUACGUUAAGUAAUAGCUCUAAGCGAGUCUCGGUUGGUGAAAGGAGACAGUUCCCUACUUAACAGAAAAUCACUUUCGAGCUUGAAUCUUAACCUUAUUAGUAAGAUUCAAUGGUAAACGCCCAUUAUCGCGUCUGCGUAUCGCUGUUUAGCCGUACGUGAAAGGUGUCAGUAGUAAUAUUGGCAUAAAGAUAGGGUGGUACCACGCUCAAGCGUCCCUUAG
rnacentral:ncRNA from 1 species